rnacentral:tRNA from 1 species
CGGGGUGUGGCGCAGUUGGUAGCGCGCAUGGUUUGGGACCAUGAGGUCCGCGGUUCAAGUCCGCGCACCCCGACCA